CGUGGGUAACCUGCCCAAGAGAUCGGGAUAACACCUGGAAACAGAUGCUAAUACCGGAUAACAACAGAUGAUGCCUAUCAACUGUUUAAAAGAUGGUUCUGCUAACACUCUUGGAUGGACCUGCGGUGCAUUAGCUAGUUGGUAGGGUAACGGCCUACCAAGGCGAUGAUGCAUAGCCGAGUUGAGAGACUGAUCGGCCACAUUGGGACUGAGACACGGCCCAAACUCCUACGGGAGGCAGCAGCC
rnacentral:rRNA from 1 species